CUCGGCUCGGCUCGGCUCGGCUCGGCUUGGCAUGGCACGGCACGGCUCGACGUGGCACGGCACGGCUCGGCUCGGCUCGGCCCAUAAGGCCUCUCCACGUGCUUGCCACUCUGCGCCUCUUGCCACCCCCGAGCAUCUUAAGCGAGAAUCUGGGAAUGCAGUGUCUUCUGCCAAAGCAGAGUAGGGGUUUUUCAUUAUGUUUGAAGUUUGCUUUCACCCUGCUCCUGUAUUUCUGUUACGAGUGCAGAAUCUUCUAUGGCACGCAGCAGUUUUGAGGUGGUUGCAUAUCUCUUCCAUGCUGGCAGGGAGGCCCGAAGCAGCCCAGAGCUCUUGCUGUCCGUGUGUCCGGUCAUAAAAUGCCAGUGCAGCCUCAGCUAAUGCAACCUCUGUUUGCACCACCCCUUCUAAAACUGUCCUGAUGUUUCAGCCCAAGUUGUCCAGUGCCAUUGGGUAUCACUUCCGCCAUGCGGCACUCCCAUGUGACUCAGGUGGCCGGGUUACAUUGGCCCAUGUGAUGUUGACACCUGUGUGCCACUGACACCCACCCAAUGACUCCCAAGCGUGCCACUGUUGAGGCACAUCAGGGCCCCCCGAGUGUUCAGGCUGCAAACUGCUGCAUGAGGCCCUGCCUUCCUCCAAGCACCAGCGGGGACUUUUAUAAAAGCCCAAAUAAGCCUAAGUCCUCUGUUAUAUGUGGACCUCAGCCCAUACUAAAAUACCGAGUAUCUAUAUCCCUACUUAUUUUGAUGUCAUAUCCGAAACAUCUGUAAUGGCACCCACGCCGUUUGGAAAUGGGAUUUACCCACCUUGUUUGUCUGCACGCUCUGAAGAGAAGAGCAACAAAGCGUGCAGAAAAAAAAAAACCCUCAAACAAGCUCUGAAGCCUCCCGACAGCCAGAAGCAGAUGUAGGUGAUCUCCCCUUCUUUGUCACGUACAGCAGAAGCUUCCCACGCACCAGAAGGGACGUGGUGUGCAAGGUGCCCAGGAUGCAUCCCUUCAGAGGGUGCCAUGCCACGGGCCACUGUAUAAACCAGACAAUUAAGUGUGGGUAACAACUGCCUGAUCAGUUCUCACCUGCGUGGCCCGAUUGCACCAGACUGCAUUUUUGAAGGUGAAAUUGUGAUUUUAUAAUUCCCAUCCCUUGUGAACUUCUGACACCUCAUGAGCGCUAGUAAUUAAAAAAUAACAUCCUCACACUUAUUCCACGUUGUAAAAGCGAAUUUCACACGGCUAAAAUGAAGUAAAGCGCUGCCACCGAACUGCUUUUAUAGUUAGCGAGACUCCAUUAACUGGAAAGCAACGAAGGCAAGGGAGCCACUGAUCUGGGCUGUGGUGAAAGAAACACAUACACUCCAAAGACUUUUUUGAGUAUUUUACUCCAAGGGUACAUGCAGGUGGGAUAUGGAGGGAUCAGUCACACCUGGCCUGGGGAAGUCAGCAUCCAGAACAGUCUGCACUUGGCUGAAAAUGAGACAGUUGCCAGAGCCAUGGCUCAGGACAGGCGAGUCUCACAGCAGGACUGACGUGUCCAAAAGGUAAGCACACAGAACUUCCUCCUGACAUCAGAUGAUGAAGAUGGGCACGAAUCCAAAUUGUCUUCUAUGUACCUAAAAUGCAACUUGGGCAAAAUGUACAUGCAUACGGAAAGUCAUUCAGAAAAUCCUGCCCAUCUUCAUUAGGCACCUCCCAGGCACGUACACUGCUAGAUGAGACUUCCUGAGGUACCCAGUACUGUCCUACUGCAUGAAUACAGCAAGCCCUAUCCAGAGCCUGAUCAAGUGAACAGGAGCACAGCCUUUCUGUGAGGCUGGGCCCUCCCUACUUUAUACCCUGCUGAUCAGAACUAAGGAGGUCUACUGAGUGCACAGGACCAGAAUGCAGAACCACUCUGGAUUUUGACAACGACUGAGAUUCCCCGCAGCUUGCUUUCUGGGGCACAUGGUACUAGCUAGAAGCUUCUGAACCUGAAGCUGUGUAGUUGCAUUAGCUCAGGAUCAGCUUACAAUAAAGAAGUUCCCCACCUGCUUGGAAAAAGGACAAAAUAGGCUCACCUCCAUUUGCAAAAUACCACGUUAGCACAGUCUCAUACACUCUGGGCUUCAGCAUUUGCAGCCACUUCCUUUCAAAAGCAAUAACUUCUGUCUGCCUUUUGUGCAAUUGCCUGGCAGCUGGAACUCUCUGGGAAAUAAAAGUUUUCUGUUCUUUUUAGCCUAGAGUUUGAAAGUCUGUUAAGGGGACUCUCAUUGAGAGUUAAGAGGUAGCAGGGGAGAAGACCACAUCAUACUUCAUAGUGAAGUUAGCCAUGGUGCACAUGAAAAGUCGGGAGUCAUGGAACUAAACAGAGCAAAGGCAAGCUACUGCUUUUGCAUUGCAUGUAGACAGGCAUAGUGUGAAAACCAGGGUUCAGAACUUCCCAUUCUCAG
ensembl:lncRNA